GUGAUCCGUCGAUGGGCGAAAAAGAAGGAGGGGAGAGGACGGAAGAGGCGGAAGAGGGAGACGAAGCGGGAGGCAGAUGGUGGAUAGGAAGGAUGUGCGGUUUUCCACAUGUGUCGGCCGGUCGUCGAGGCCUGCUCGCCGCAAAACCGCGCCCGUUCGAGGAAGAAAGCGAGACCCCACGCUUCGAAACGGAAGUCACGACGACACGAGGAAGGGACACUUUCCUUAAGAAGGGAUCGGUGGCGAUUUAAGGACAAUUAAAAGUGAACACAUUAACUUUAGAGCUCUGAUUUCAAUGGGACGCGACUUGAAACGAAUAUCAACGACAAUCGGUCAAUGAAGCCGACAGGGAGGAAUAGCCGAGUAAGACGUAAAAGAAGACGAACCGAGCCAGUAUGAUAACAAGUUUCCUACAGUUUCCUCUUAUUUUCUCUUUUUUUUUUCCAGGAUAUACUAUUAAAUGCGUUCGGCAUCUCGAGAAUUAUUUUUCCAAUUUUCUUUUUUUUCAUUCGCACGGCGAAAAAAUAAAUUCGAUGAUAAUUUUUUAAAAUAAAAAAUAUACGAUUUGAUUCAAUUUACGAAUUUACAAAUUCUUUUCCCUUUUUCCCCUCUCUAUUUUUUAACAUUUUUCAUUCUAACAUCAUUAGUUCGUAAAUUGUCCUAGAUCGUCUUUGGAGUUUCGCAAAUUAAAUAAUUCGCGAACGCGAAUUUUCUCGCGUAAUUUUUCAUCCGUAAUUCGAUGACGAAUGGGAGGAGCGGACGAAAUUUCACGGCACCUCGUUUACUCGAGAAGGAAAUUUUCUCGUGGACAGUCUAAUAUCGCUAAAAGCUUUUUAAUAAACAGUCUUUGAGCACAUUGGUGCGGCUGGUUGGUUGCGUAAGAAUACAGGCGCGUGUAGGGGGUUACUCUCCCUCCCUCUUUUCCCUCGCGUUUCUCCUUCUGGGAUGACGAGACGAAGACACUAGAAAGAGUAUUCAAUGGCGUGCUGAAAGAUAGAUAGAUAGAUAGAUAGAGAGGAAUUCGGUGGAAGCACGCGAGGAAAGAUCGUGGGAUGGAAGAGAAGGGGCAAGAAACGAGACGAAAGAAAGAGCGUGGACAGGAUUAAAGCGAGAGUAUUGUUACCGGUAACCGUGUCUCUUUGUCGGAGAGAACUUGAGUCGGUAAUAAAAUAAAAAA